UAUAUAACACAUCAUGCUGCAGCAGAACACAUACACAGUACUCACUCUGCUCUCACAGCCUCUCUACUACCUCACCUACCCUCUCACACUUAACCAGCCAGGAUGACAUUGUCAUGGGCCAGUCGUGUAGUGCGCAGAGGCAGCGCAGUGGAGACAGUCUACUGGCGUGCCACCCCCAGUCCUAGUAGCGUAGUCACUACCCUUGGCAGUGGCAGUGGCAGUGGCAGUGGCAGUGGCAGUGGCAGUGGCAGUGGCAGUGGCAGUGGCAGUGGCAGUGGUGCCAAGCUGAUCAAACAUGGCAAAGUACUCAGGCUGAAGCAGAUGCCGCCUCCCCCUGCCCAGCUGCAUAGCAGACUCACCACCUCCGGUCCAGUCGCAUCCCUGUGAUACAAGAUGUAAUCAACAACUUUUUCGUGUUUUGGAGAUCCAGCGAUAUUCGUUCGGAUUUCAAAACCAGCAUUAUUUAGAUAGUAAUUCAUCACUUCAUAAUACGUUUCUUGAAUUUAAUGUAAAAUAUGUCUCUCAUUAACGUCAUUCAUACGAUUUAUCUAUUUAUUUAAUUUAACUUAGAUUAGUUUUGAUUUUGUACUGGUAAUAGCUAUUUUAGAACAUUAAAUAAAUUUAUGAAAGCCA